GUUUCCACAACCUCCUUCACUGGUUCAGGAGAAUUCUCAGCAGCUACUGAGAGAAAUUCUUUACCGUCCUCACUCACCUCCUUUGCUAACACAGCCAGAUCACUUUUAGCCUUGUCUGCUUGAAUUUUUAACUGCUCCGAUGUUUCUUUCAAAAUGACCAUUGCUUUCUUGGAGUAUACCUCGUAUGCUUCUUGCGAGACACUUUGCACCUUCAAGGCUUGUUCUUUGAAAGAAGCCAGAGUCUCUUUCCAAGCUUCUUGUGAUUCUUCAGCCCCCAAUUCAACACCAUUGUUUUCCUUCUCCACUUCAAUUUCUGAAUGCGAUUCUUCGUGGGAGGCAGCAGACGCAACAAUCGGUCGGCUCCACGAAUUCCUUCGCUCCAGAGAAGGAAAGCCAAUCCGAAGACCUUUAUAAGUAAAAACUGCAGGAGCCUCAA
rnacentral:misc_RNA from 1 species